rnacentral:lncRNA from 1 species
CGAUGAUGACUGCUAUACCCCUAUUUUUACAAUUUUACUUCUUAUGUCUGUUUUGUUCACACAUUGUUGUCAAUAUAAUGUAAUUUGAUACGACUUUCAUACACGUGAGAGGUUAAGCGCUAUAAAAACAGGUUCAAUCCACCAUUUUCUACGGUUGAAAAUGUCAAGAAUAUAACAGUUGCUGUUCAUUCGUUUGAUGUGUUUUAUCAUUUGAUUUG